ACUGAUAUUAAGUGCUAUAAGUAAGAAACGACUACAAUAUAGAAUCCAUAAUUAUUUUUAUUUCUCUGCUUCGGAAACUAUAACAACCAAAAACAAUAUUUUUUAUUAUAAUGAUCGUAUGGUAUUUAUGUUGCAUAAUAUUUGCUAUAAGUACUCAAAUAUUAAUUAUUAUUGAUUAACUACGUAAUGACACCAUCCUAAAUACUGAAUAGUGUUAUCAAAACAAAUUUUUAAAAAUUACUAGUGUAACACAUAAAGUCUAAUGAUACGAUAGGUAUAUUUAAGUAGUAAGUUAGUUGACUUUGCAAAUAAAACCAAUAUUGAUUCAAAUGGUCAAAUGAGUUUCUCUUUUUUACAUGUCGAAUAGCCAACCAAUAAUAUUGGAACAAUUGCAAGUAUGAAAUCGAUACUUUCAUUUAAUUGCGUGGGAUACAGUAAAUAAAACAUGAUUUUAGGUAUUGAAUCAAUUCACUUUUAUAAAUAUAAUUUCGCUGACGCAAAUUUUUAAAUCGUAGUUGCGACGAAAUAUGUUAUUCUUUUAAAAUAGUUAAUCUAAUGUAUUGUAUACAUACUAUUGCAUACUAAUAUCGCCACAGUUGAUACCUAACCGUGAGUUCUUCGUGUAUGAUUUUAUGUUUAAUUCUGGAUUAUAUAUUUUAGUAUAUUAUUUAAAAUAAUUGUGUUUAACGAAAUUUUCGAAAUUGAUUGUUAGUUGAAUGAUAAAUUUCGUCCGGACUCUGAAUAUAGAUUGAAAAAAUACUUACAGAAAUCUAGUAAAUUGAAUAAUGAAUGGCAUCCCGGUUGAGGCGCUCUUCCGGAAUUGGGAUAGAAGUCAGCGUGGCCUAUACUUGUAAAGUAGCCAAGAAUUCCUCUUGAUGUAUGAAUACAGUCGAC